UUUCCCCUGGGUGGGCAGCUGUCGGCUGGGAUGGAGGCCGGUCAGGAGACGCUGUCUGGUUCUGGUGCUUGUCUCAACAGCUAUUCAACAGUCCUGUGUUGUGUUGAGCCCUGUAUGUUCUGACUGAACCACUACUGAAGACACUUCCCAAAGACAAACACACCAAACACUGGGCUCUCAGGAGAAAUACUUGUGAUGCACUCUAAUGAAACCUGGAUUUUGCUGAAUGAAAAAUGACUGCAUCAGGGGAGUAACCUGUUUCUAGUGUUACCAUGACGCUGCCCCAACCAUUCUUGUACAAUCUCAGUAUUGGAUUCUUAUUCUGUCUUGACAGCUCAUCUACUCUCAGACAAUCAACACAUCCCCCCUCCUUUCUGUCUUCCACCUUCCCAAGCCGGCUGCAGAGAUAGAAGCACUCACACCAGCCAGAGUGUUAGAUUCACUAUUAUCACAUGCUAACUGAGGGAGUAAAAUUGAGAAAACUGAGGUAUUUGGAACAAUAACAGAAGAGGCUGUUAUUAUGGGAUGAAUGGCCUUUUAAGAGAACAGCACUGAAAUAAUGCAGAUAUGUCAAGAGAUUACAAUGAAAAUCCCCCCCACAUUCCCUUCUCUCCUGGGGCUCAGAGAAAAAUGUUCUCACCCAUAAACUGGUGACAUUCUUGAAUAAAAUCAAGAUUAAUUUAA